GUCCCUGUAGCUCAGUUGGUGGAGCAUUCGGCUGUUAACCGAAAGGUCGCAAGUUCGAGUCUUGCCGGGGACG
rnacentral:tRNA from 1 species